GCCGGCAUAGCUCAGUUGGUAGAGCAACCGCCUUGUAAGCGGUAGGUCGUCCGUUCAAAUCGGACUGUCGGCACCA
rnacentral:tRNA from 4 species